rnacentral:rRNA from 1 species
UACGUAGGGGGCUAGCGUUGUCCGGAAUCAUUGGGCGUAAAGCGCGUGUAGGCGGCCCGGUAAGUCCGCUGUGAAAGUCGGGGGCUCAACCCUCGAAUGCCGGUGGAUACUGUCGGGCUAGAGUACGGAAGAGGCGAGUGGAAUUCCUGGUGUAGCGGUGAAAUGCGCAGAUAUCAGGAGGAACACCCAUUGCGAAGGCAGCUCGCUGGGACGUUACUGACGCUGAGACGCGAAAGCGUGGGGAGCAAACAGG